rnacentral:sRNA from 1 species
ACACGAGAGAGGAGGUGGUCCAGAGGUGAAUUCUUCUAGGACGCGUGAGGUGACUGCGCGCUAGCGCAGCUCGUCUGUCGGACACCUCCGGUGCGCCGACGUCGGACGUGGUGGCAAUACAACGCAGUCACCGCAGCCCGUGGGAGCGCGACUCGUCCAUCGCGCGCCCGUCUCGAAGGAGGCGGGAGCCCACGGGCUGUUGCGU